GACGAACGCUGGCGGCGUGCUUAACACAUGCAAGUCGAACGGAGAGGCCCUGCUUUUGUUGGGUGCUCGAGUGGCGAACGGGUGAGUAACACGUGAGUAACCUGCCCUUGACUUUGGGAUAACUUCAGGAAACUGGGGCUAAUACCGGAUAGGAGCUCCUGCUGCAUGGUGGGGGUUGGAAAGUUGCGGCGGUUGGGGACGGACUGGCGGCUCAUCAGAUUGUUGGUGGGGUAGGGGCUUACCAAGGCUUUGACGGGUAGCCGGCCUGAGAGGGUUACCGGACCCAUUAGAACGGGAAUACGGCACAGACUCAUCCGGGAGGCAACGGUGGGGAGUGUUGCACAAUGGGAGGAAGGAAGAUGUAACAACGCCGCGUGCGGGAUGACGGCAUUCGGGUUGUAAACCGCUUUCGCAUGAGAAGAAGCGUGAGUGACGGUAAUGGGUAAAGAAGCACCGGCUAACUACGUG
rnacentral:rRNA from 1 species